AGUGAACGCUGGCGGUAGGCCUAACACAUGCAAGUCGAACGGCAGCACAGUAAGAGCUUGCUCUUACGGGUGGCGAGUGGCGGACGGGUGAGGAAUACAUCGGAAUCUACUUUUUCGUGGGGGAUAACGUAGGGAAACUUACGCUAAUACCGCAUACGACCUACGGGUGAAAGCAGGGGAUCUUCUGACCUUGCGCGAUUGAAUGAGCCGAUGUCGGAUUAGCUAGUUGGCGGGGUAACGGCCCACCAAGGCGACGAUCCGUAGCUGGUCUGAGAGGAUGAUCAGCCACACUGGAACGGAGACACGGUCCAGACUCCUACGGGAGGCAGCAGUGGGGAAUAUUGGACAAUGGGCGCAAGCCUGAUCCAGCCAUACCGCGUGGGUGAAGAAGGCCUUCGGGUUGUAAAGCCCUUUUGUUGGGAAAGAAAAGCAGCAGGUUAAUACCCCGCUGUUCUGACGGUACCCAAAGAAUAAGCACCGGCUAACUUCGUG
rnacentral:rRNA from 1 species